rnacentral:rRNA from 1 species
AUGCCGGGCAGCAUCCGAAUCUCAGACAUUCAGCCACCGGUCACCGCACCACUCUUCUUGCAAGGUUUGUUGGUGUCUUCUGAUUUCACUCUACUUUUUCCCUUGCUUCACACUUCCUGUUUGCUAAUGUCGUGUCAUUUGGAUGCAGUUAAUGCAGGGAAAAAAGAGUACAGCGGAGACAUAGGGCAGCAUGGAUUCUCCCUUCCUGUUACAUCGAUUCGUGAUAGCAUGGUGAUGAUGCUGUACAAUGCAGACAAGGAAUUGGUAUCCAAGACAGAGGUGAAGACAAAGUUGAUUGUUGAGUUGGGAACCAUGGAUGCUGUUUUUACUCUUGAUAGUGGAGGGACAAUUAUUCUCCAGUUGCAGUUUUUUCUCAGCGAUGAAGAUCGCAAGCGCAUCCAAGAGAUGAGGAACUCUGUGAUGAAAAGAAAGCAGCAAGAGCUGCUUGGGAAUGGCGAUGAACUUUAUUUCCAAGGAGCUCUGUUUCUUACAAAUGGCUUUCAAAUUUUAUCAGAAGAUGGCCCACUGCCUAAAGAGCAUGCAGAAGAUAUCCCCGGCAUCCCAAGCAAAGAUGAUCUGAAAAAGAGGGUCGUCUUCUCCGAAACAAGUGUAGAUUCUGACAUGGUGGCUUCUAAGGACCCACCGUUGCAAAUUGGUGGUACUACUUCGAUGCUCGAAGGUCCCAUCGACGCCGAUUCCAAGAAAGGACAGGGUAAACCAAAGAGUAGAUCAAGCAGCGCGGUGAAGAAGAUGAUAAGUGCCUUCGAAAGCAGCUCCCCACAGGGUCUGCCUUCGGUGCCAAGGAUCAGAUCAGAGAGCUCGUUGGAAGAGAUGCCGUCGGUUUCUUGUUCAGAGACUUCCACCAACCCUUCACGCAAGCCUCCUACUCCUGGUGCAUCAGUGGACGCUCCAGGCCGCACCCAGACAGGUCCCAGGCCAGGGAAGCAAGCCAUGAUCAUUGGCAACAAGAAACCAAGCACAUCUUUUGGAAAGACCGGCCCGUUAAACACACAAGAAAGCCGGAGACGGAGCUCCAGGCAGAGCGCAGGAGCGAGCAACAUGAUUCGCCCGGAGAAGCGGUCAGCGGAAAAGCGUCGGCGUCGCUCCAUCGGCACCUACUCAUCGGAGCAGCAGGUGAACCCUUGUGGUGCGACGUCUAUCGUCACGUGGAUCAACCAUCCGCACGUCUGCAUCACCACUGCGAGCAGGCAGCUGAAAGGCAUUGUUGACGUCGAGCACCUGAAUUUCGUGGAGAACUUGGGACAGGGCGCAGGUGACGGCGCGGCGCGGUGUCCUGACGGUUCCCCGGUGCUGAAUGGGUGGUUGAUUAACCAGGGUGUGCGUGGUGUGAUAGUGAUCAUAGCCUGCGGAGCUGUGUUUUUCAACAACAGGUGA